rnacentral:rRNA from 1 species
UACGGAGGGAGCUAGCGUUAUUCGGAAUUACUGGGCGUAAAGCGCACGUAGGCGGCUUUGUAAGUAAGAGGUGAAAGCCCAGAGCUCAACUCUGGAAUUGCCUUUUAGACUGCAUCGCUUGAAUCAUGGAGAGGUCAGUGGAAUUCCGAGUGUAGAGGUGAAAUUCGUAGAUAUUCGGAAGAACACCAGUGGCGAAGGCGGCUGACUGGACAUGUAUUGACGCUGAGGUGCGAAAGCGUGGGGAGCAAACAGGAUUGA